UACGUAGGGGGCAAGCGUUGUUCGGAUUUACUGGGCGUAAAGGGCGCGUAGGCGGUCAGCACAAGUCAGUUGUGAAAUCUCCGAGCUUAACUCGGAAAGGUCAACUGAUACUGUGCGACUAGAGUGCAGAAGGGGCAACUGGAAUUCUUGGUGUAGCGGUGAAAUGCGUAGAUAUCAAGAGGAACACCUGCGGCGAAGGCGGGUUGCUGGGCUGACACUGACGCUGAAACGCGAAAGCCAGGGGAGCGAACGGG
rnacentral:rRNA from 1 species